rnacentral:misc_RNA from 1 species
UACGUAGGGGGCAAGCGUUGUCCAGAAUUAUUGGGCGUAAAGCGCGCGCAGGCGGUCUCGUAAGUCUAAUGUGAAAGCCCCCGGCUCAACCGGGGAGGGUCAUUGGAAACUGGCGGACUUGAGUGCAGAAGAGGAGAGUGGAAUUCCAUGUGUAGCGGUGAAAUGCGCAGAGAUAUGGAGGAACACCAGUGGCGAAGGCGACUUUCUGGUCUGUAACUGACGCUGAGGCGCGAAAGCGUGGGUAGCAAACAGG